CCUACGGGAGGCAGCAGUGGGGAAUAUUGGACAAUGGGGGCAACCCUGAUCCAGCCAUGCCGCGUGUGUGAAGAAGGCCCUCGGGUUGUAAAGCACUUUCAGUGAGGAAGAACGCCUGGUGGUUAAUACCCAUCAGGAAAGACAUCACUCACAGAAGAAGCACCGGCUAACUCCGUGCCAGCAGCCGCGGUAAUACGGAGGGGGCGAGCGUUAAUCGGAAUUACUGGGCGUAAAGCGCGCGUAGGUGGCUUGAUAAGCCGGUUGUGAAAGCCCCGGGCUCAACCUGGGAACGGCAUCCGGAACUGGCAAGCUAGAGUGCAGGAGAGGAAGGUAGAAUUCCCGGUGUAGCGGUGAAAUGCGUAGAGAUCGGGAGGAAUACCAGUGGCGAAGGCGGCCUUCUGGACUGACACUGACACUGAGGUGCGAAAGCGUGGGUAGCAAACAGGAUUAGAUACCCGAGUAGUC
rnacentral:rRNA from 1 species